rnacentral:rRNA from 1 species
AACGUAGGGGGCCAGCGUUGUCCGGAAUUACUGGGCGUAAAGCGCGCGUAGGCGGUUUGGUAAGCGGAGGGUGCAAUCCCGAGGCUCAACCUCGGAACUGCUCUCCGAACUGCCAGACUUGAGUACGGGAGAGGAUAGUGGAAUUCCUGGUGUAGCGGUGGAAUGCGUAAAUAUCAGGAGGAACGCCGGUGGCGAAGGCUGCUAUCUGGAACGUAACUGACGCUAAGGCGCGAAAGCUAGGGGAGCGAACGGGAUUAGAUACCCGAGUA